rnacentral:rRNA from 1 species
GGGGGAAUAUUGCACAAUGGGCGCAAGCCUGAUGCAGCGACGCCGCGUGCGGGAUGAAGGCCUUCGGGUUGUAAACCGCUUUCAGCAGGGGCGAAUCUUGACGGUACCUGCAGAAGAAGCGCCGGCUAACUACGUGCCAGCAGCCGCGGUAAUACGUAGGGCGCGAGCGUUGUCCGGAAUUAUUGGGCGUAAAGAGCUCGUAGGCGGCCUGUUGCGUCCGCUGUGAAAUCCCAGGGCUCAACCCUGGGCGUGCAGUGGAUACGGGCGGGCUGGAGGCAGGCAGGGGAGAACGGAAUUCCCGGUGUAGCGGUGAAAUGCGCAGAUAUCGGGAGGAACACCGGUGGCGAAGGCGGUUCUCUGGGCCUGUGCUGACGCUGAGGAGCGAAAGCGUGGGGAGCGAAC